rnacentral:other from 1 species
GAAUUUCUGAGGUGUACGUUAUAGCUUAUAUUUUCAGCCUACAUGAAGUAUACGGGAGUUCGUGUUUAUCUGUGGAUAACAAGCCUUGAUUGAAAAAGGAAGUUAGAGACAAAUGACAGAGCACCCACCUGGGUGAAGCUCGGGUAUGAAUUUAAUAGGCAGACGGCGCAAUGGAUUAA